UCGAGCGUGAAUAAGUGGAGUGAGGACUUCGGUGCUGAGUGAAACUUAUGAAAGCGGCGGACGGGUGAGUAACGCGUGGGCAACCUGCCUCAUACAAAGGGAUAGCCACUGGAAACGGUGAUUAAUACCUUAUAAGUCGGUAGCAUCGCAUGAUGUAUCCGACAAAGAUUUAUCGGUAUGAGAUGGGCCCGCGUCUGAUUAGCUAGUUGGUAAGGUAACGGCUUACCAAGGCGACGAUCACUAACCGACCUGAGAGGGUGAUCGGCCACACUGGAACUGANACACGGUCCACACUCCUACGGGAGGCAGCAGUGGGGAAUAUUGCACAAUGGGCGCAAGCCUGAUGCAGCAACGCCACGUGAGUGAUGAAGGCCUUCGGGUUGUAAAACUCUGUCCUAUGGGAAGAAACAAAUGAAGGUACCAUAGGAGGAAGCCCCGGCUAACUACGUGCCAGCAGCC
rnacentral:rRNA from 1 species